AGUGCAUUACAGGCUCUUUGAGAUUUUCCUUCAAAUCAAAAUAUUUUUUCCUAUUAUAGCAGAUAUAAAAAGUAAACUUUACGAGUGUUCAACAAAAGCUCUUUCAGUCACUUUUUUCUGGAUACCUAGACACUGUGGCAUAAUAGGCAACGAUAGAGCCGUGCAAAUGAAGCUGUGGUGUGUGGUGUCAAAUAUACUCAGGAUUUAGCUGCUCUUCCUGGUCCCAGGGACUCUUGGGGUAAAGUCUGGGCAGAAAGUAGCCAAUUUAAAUGUACCUCUCUCAUUAAACUUGAUAAAAUUAUUACCACCAUAUUGAUAAGAAUGCGCCUUGGACACACCACUUGUCCGGCCCAUCUCGCAAGGUUUCAUAUUAUAGAUAGUCCACAAUGUGAAUGCGGACAUGACUUUGGGAUCUGGAUCACUUAUUCUUUUCCUGCCCUAAGUAUGACCGAACUUCCUUUUUAGAUAGUUUUAUAUCCAUCCGGGUCCCUUUCCCAACCUCUAUAAAAACCCACCUGAAUCAACAGAGAUUCUCCAUAUUGGAACGUAUAUAUCUAAAUAUAUUAAUAGCAACAAUACUAAAUUGUUAAUAAUGUAUAGUAGGUACCUAAUAUAUUUUAUCUGAAAAUAAUAGUUUUCAUCUAUUUUUUGUAUAUAUUUAUUUACCCACAUUUAUCUUAACCAAAUGAAAUGUCAAAAUCCUCGUGUUGUACAUUUUUGUAACGUGAUUCAUUUCCCUACGUUAAAAUAAAUAAAACCCUUUGAAGUAGAACAUGCAAGAAAACUUCCAAUGCGAAUCAAUGAACGAAAACUUGAAGCUGGCGGAUGCAUGGAAUGUGCGAGCCAGUCUCCAAAAAGGAGUGAAAUUAAAAAAAAGAAGUGUUGUGUUGUUGAACUGGGUUUAUUGUUAUUUAAUUUUAUUAUAGAAUAAAUAAAGCGUACAAAACCUUUCUUUGAUUAUGACGGAACGAAAGCGUUCUUCCCCUAUUUGGCAGUAUUUUGAAAGAAUUGGAACGGAUAAAAAAGCGCUUUGCUGUCUGUGCAACAAGUCCUUGUCUUAUAAAACUACCAUUGCAAAUCUCAAAUCCCAUCUAAAGUUAAAAUACUUUGCAACCUACACAACUUUUGUGUCAAAGAAGCCCGAAAAACAAGAAAUAAAUGAAAGUACACAAAAACCAAUGUCAUCUUCAGUUGGCAGUCUUUAUCUAGAUCUAGAUGAUGAACCAGAUAAUCAUGAGCCUGUAAUUAAAAAUGAAACAUGGGCACAUAAUACAAACUCCAGUAAGACAAAGACAAAAGGCUGUCAAAGUGAUUUACAGACAUCAAAUAACACUAACUGGUUAGAUAACAUAACUAUCAUAGACUCUGCAAAAGAAAAGGAUGAUGAAUUUCAUUUCAUAGGCAUGAACAUUGCUGCACAGCUACGAAGACUUCCAUUAUAUGUAGCUUUGCAGUUACAAACUGAGUUUCUACAUAAAUUAAAUUCUGCUAGAAUUGAAGAUCCAUUAUGUAAACCUUUUGAACAUUCUAGUUGACCAUAGAUAGAUCGAAAACAGAUUGAAAUGGCAUAUCUGUAACUGAGUUGAGCUAUGGGGGCAUUACCUUUCAAUCCAAUACCAGGAAAAAGGAGAUGCGAGUGAGUAGAACUGUUAAAAAAUUAUGUAAGUACCAUAUAACAUUUUAUAAAUUAGUAUUAUCAAGCAAAUUAAUUCAAAAAUUAAUAAAAAUGGUGUCCAAAUCUUUA